CCUACGGGAGGCUGCAGUGAGGAAUAUUGGUCAAUGGACGGAAGUCUGAACCAGCCAUGCCGCGUGCAGGAAGACGGCUCUAUGAGUUGUAAACUGCUGUUGUACAAGGGUAAACCUGAAUACGUGUAUUCAGCUGAAAGUACUGUACGAAUAAGGAUGGGCUAACUCCGUGCCAGCAGCCGCGGUAAUACGGAGGAUCCAAGCGUUCUCCGGAUUUAUUGGGUUUAAAGGGUGCGUAGGCGGAUUGAUAAGGUAGAGGUGAAAUGUCCGCGCUUAACUCGGGAACUGCCUCUCAUACUGUUGUUCUAGCGCGUAGCUGCGGUAGGCGGACUGUCUGGUGUAGCGGUUAAAUGCUU
rnacentral:rRNA from 1 species